rnacentral:rRNA from 1 species
AUUGAACGCUGGCGGCAGGCUUAACCCAUGCAAGUCGAACGCGUGGCGGACGGGUGAGUAAUGCUUGGGAAUCUAGCUUAUGGAGGGGGAUACCUCCGGGAAACUGUAGCUAAUACCGCGUACCAUAGGAUGAGCCCAAGUGGGAUUAGCUAUUUGGUGAGGUAAAGGCUCACCAAGUCGACGAUCUCUAGCUGGUCUGAGAGGAUGACCAACCACACUGGGACUGAGACACGGCCCAGACUCCUACGGGAGGCAGCAGUGGGGAAUAUUGCGCAAUGGGGGCGACCUGACGCAGCCAUGCCGCGUGAAUGAAGAAGGCCUUCGGGUUGUAAAGUUCUUUCGGUAGCGAGGCGUUAACUACAGAAGAAGCACCGGCUAACUCCGUGCCAGCAGCCGCGGUAAUUC